AGAGUUUGAUCCUGGCUCAGGAUGAACGCUGGCGGCGUGCUUAACACAUGCAAGUCGAACGGAGCGAGCAGCGGAAGCCCUUCGGGGCGGAAGAAGCGAAGCUUAGUGGCGGACGGGUGAGUAACGCGUGAGCAACCUACCCCAUACAGGGGGAUAACAGCGGGAAACCGCUGCUAACACCGCAUAAGCGCACAGUAACGCAUGUUACAGUGUGAAAAACUAUAGUGGUAUGGGAUGGGCUCGCGUCUGAUUAGGUAGUUGGCGGGGUAAAGGCCCACCAAGCCGACGAUCAGUAGCCGGACUGAGAGGUUGAACGGCCACAUUGGGACUGAGAUACGGCCCAGACUCCUACGGGAGGCAGCAGUGGGGAAUAUUGCACGAUGGGGGAAACCCUGAUGCAGCAACGCCGCGUGAAGGAAGACGGUUUUCGGAUUGUAAACUUCUUUUCUUAGUGAAGAAGCAAGUGACGGUAGCUAAGGAAUAAGCAUCGGCUAACUACGUGCCAGCAGCCGCGGUAAUACGUAGGAUGCGAGCGUUAUCCGGAAUUACUGGGUGUAAAGGGAGCGCAGGCGGGAUUGCAAGUUGGAUGUGAAAUACCGGGGCUCAACCCCGGAACUGCAUCCAAAACUGUAGUUCUUGAGUGGAGUAGAGGCAAGCGGAAUUCCGAGUGUAGCGGUGAAAUGCGUAGAUAUUCGGAGGAACACCAGUGGCGAAGGCGGCUUGCUGGGCUCUAACUGACGCUGAGGCUCGAAAGUGUGGGGAGCAAACAGGAUUAGAUACCCUGGUAGUCCACACUGUAAACGAUGAUAGCUAGGUGUGGGGGGUCUGACCCCUUCCGUGCCGGAGUUAACGCAAUAAGCUAUCCACCUGGGGAGUACGGCCGCAAGGUUGAAACUCAAAGGAAUUGACGGGGGCCCGCACAAGCAGUGGAUUAUGUGGUUUAAUUCGAAGCAACGCGAAGAACCUUACCAGGUCUUGACAUCCAACUAACGAGAUAGAGAUAUGUCAGGUGCCCUUCGGGGAAAGUUGAGACAGGUGGUGCAUGGUUGUCGUCAGCUCGUGUCGUGAGAUGUUGGGUUAAGUCCCGCAACGAGCGCAACCCUUAUGUCCAGUAGCCAGCAGGUAAAGCCGGGCACUCUGGGGAGACUGCCGGAGACAAUCCGGAGGAAGGUGGGGAUGACGUCAAAUCAUCAUGCCCCUUAUGGUUUGGGCUACACACGUGCUACAAUGGCGUAAACAAAGUGAAGCGAGAGGGUGACCUUGGGCAAAUCACAGAAAUAACGUCUCAGUUCGGAUUGUAGUCUGCAACCCGACUACAUGAAGCUGGAAUCGCUAGUAAUCGCGGAUCAGCAUGCCGCGGUGAAUACGUUCCCGGGUCUUGCACACACCGCCCGUCA
rnacentral:rRNA from 1 species